rnacentral:rRNA from 1 species
GACGAACGCUGGCGGCGUGCUUAACACAUGCAAGUCGAACGGAAAGGCCCUGCUUUUGUGGGGUGCUCGAGUGGCGAACGGGUGAGUAACACGUGAGUAACCUGCCCUUGACUUUGGGAUAACUUCAGGAAACUGGGGCUAAUACCGGAUAGGAGCUCCUGCUGCAUGGUGGGGGUUGGAAAGUUUCGGCGGUUGGGGAUGGACUCGCGGCUUAUCAGCUUGUUGGUGGGGUAGUGGCUUACCAAGGCUUUGACGGGUAGCCGGCCUGAGAGGGUGACCGACCACAUUGGGACUGAGAUACGGCCCAGACUCCUACGGGAGGCAGCAGUGGGGAAUAUUGCGCAAUGGGCGGAAGCCUGAUGCAGCAACGCCGCGUGCGGGAUGACGGCCUUCGGGUUGUAAACCGCUUUCGCCUGUGACGAAGCGUGAGUGACGGUAAUGGGUAAAGAAGCACCGGCUAACUACGUG